GGGAUGUUAGCUCAGUUGGUUUAGAGCACCUGCCUUACAAGCAGGGGGUCACAGGUUCGAAUCCUGUACGUCCCA
rnacentral:tRNA from 2 species